AAAGCAGUGAUUGUGUGUAUCGGUGUUGUGCUAUGAUUAAUGCAUUCUUCCGAAAGAAUUCCCUGCAAAAUCAUUCUUGAGAAAAUGGGCAGUUGUUUUUCAUUUUUUUCCUAUUGAAAUUCACAACAAUCAUUUUCCCCACAUUUUUUUAUAUAAUUCAUUUUUUUUAUGUAGACAGUGAUGAUUGCUUCAUAUAUUCUGACACCUCUUGUAUGAGAUGAAUUUUGGUUCAUCUUUGAGCACAUAAAGCAACUCUCUGAGUCUUAUACAACAAUUAUUAUUCCAAUUUUAUGUAUUCUGUGUUUAUAUUCAAUUAUUGUUAUCAGCCUAAUAUUGCAAUUAUUCUUUCUGCUGUUUUAUUUGAAUUUGGUUUUGUUGGUUUUGAAUAUAGAUUACAAUGUUGAAUGAUGAUAAAAUCAUUCGGAUUCCCAAUGAUAUUAUAUAUAUGAUCUUACAAUUAAGUCUGACAACAUUGUAUUCAUAUUGUGUUAUGUUUUUCACAUUCUAGUAGUUUAUAUUUUCACUAUUUUUCCUUUUUUUAUUUCCAAUUACAUAUGGGUGUUGAUGCUAGGCCUGUGAUGCUGGAAAAUAUUUGCUACUCUUGAUGGGAAUCACCCAUUUGAUGAUUUUUUUUCCACCAAGAUCUCUGAGGCU